rnacentral:rRNA from 1 species
CAAGCGGUGGAGCAUGUGGUUUAAUUCGAAGCAACGCGAAAAACCUUACCAAAUCUUGACAUCCUCUGACCGCCCUGGAGACAGGGCUUCCCUUCGGGGCAGAGUGACAGGUGGUGCAUGGUUGUCGUCAGCUCGUGUCGUGAGAUGUUGGGUUAAGUCCCGCAACGAGCGCAACCCUUAAGCUUAGUUGCCAGCAUUCAGUUGGGCACUCUAAGUUGACUGCCGGUGACAAACCGGAGGAAGGUGGGGAUGACGUCAAAUCAUCAUGCCCCUUAUGAUUUGGGCUACACACGUGCUACAAUGGACAGGUGACAAAGGGCAGCUACGCCGUGAGGCCAAGCGAAUCCCAUAAAACUGUUCUCAGUUCGGAUUGGAGUCUGCAACUCGACUCCAUGAAGCUGGAAUCGCUAGUAAUCGUGGAUCAGCAUGCCACGGUGAAUACGUUCCCGGGUCUUGUACACACC